UGGCUCAGAUUGAACGCUGGCGGCAGGCCUAACACAUGCAAGUCGAACGGUAACAGGAAGUGCUUGCACUUCGCUGACGAGUGGCGGACGGGUGAGUAAUGCUUGGGAACUUGCCUUUGCGAGGGGGAUAACAGUUGGAAACGACUGCUAAUACCGCAUAAUGUCUUCGGACCAAACGGGGCUUAGGCUCCGGCGCAAAGAGAGGCCCAAGUGAGAUUAGCUAGUUGGUAAGGUAAAGGCUUACCAAGGCAACGAUCUCUAGCUGUUCUGAGAGGAAGAUCAGCCACACUGGGACUGAGACACGGCCCAGACUCCUACGGGAGGCAGCAGUGGGGAAUAUUGCACAAUGGGGGAAACCCUGAUGCAGCCAUGCCGCGUGUGUGAAGAAGGCCUUCGGGUUGUAAAGCACUUUCAGUUGUGAGGAAAAGUUAGUAGUUAAUACC
rnacentral:rRNA from 2 species